rnacentral:rRNA from 1 species
UACGGAGGAUGCGAGCGUUAUCCGGAUUUAUUGGGUUUAAAGGGUGCGUAGGCGGGCUUUUAAGUCAGCGGUAAAAAUUCGGGGCUCAACCCCGUCCGGCCGUUGAAACUGGGGGUCUUGAGUAGGCGAGAAGAAGGCGGAAUGCGUGGUGUAGCGGUGAAAUGCAUAGAUAUCACGCAGAACCCCGAUUGUGAAGGCAGCCUUCCGGCGCCCUACUGACGCUGAGGCACGAAAGUGCGGGGAUCGAACAGG